rfam:Xenopus tropicalis strain Nigerian Chr02_contig_1765, whole genome shotgun sequence.
UUGGGAUAUGGAGAUAUGUAUCCGCAAACCUGGUCUGGUAUGCUGGUGGGUGCCUUAUGCGCCUUGGCUGGUGUGCUCACCAUUGCCAUGCCAGUCCCUGUUAUUGUAAAUAAU